rnacentral:rRNA from 1 species
AUUGAACGCUGGCGGCAGGCCUAACACAUGCAAGUCGAGCGAGCGGCGGGUGGGUGAGUAAUGCCUGGGAAUUGCCAGGCGAGGGGGAUAACAGUUGGAAACGACUGCUAAUACCGCAUACGAAGGGAUUGCGCAGGGGGGAUUAGUUAGUGGGUGGGGUAAUGGCCCACCAAGGCGACGAUCCCUAGCUGGUCUGAGAGGAUGAUCAGCCACACUGGAACUGAGACACGGUCCAGACUCCUACGGGAGGCAGCAGUGGGGAAUAUUGCACAAUGGGGGAAAGCCUGAUGCAGCCAUGCCGCGUGUGUGAAGAAGGCCUUCGGAUUGUAAAGCACUUUAAGCGAGGAGGCGUUACUCACAGAAGAAGCACCGGCUAACUCCGUGCCAGCAGCCGCGGUAAUUC